UUUAUGAGUAGAAUAGUAAGCACGUAGAAUUGCAACCAAGUGUAUGGUGUGCCUCAAAAAAACUUCCACAUAAUUUCUUCAGGAUACAUUCAAGCUGCUUCUCUGCUGGAUAUGAAACAUCUGGGAUAAUGUCCCAUUCCACAGGAAUUACGGUAUCUUACUUUGUUUCCUGGCAAGAAUUCAGGGAUUUUAAUUGCGAUUAAAGUCAACAAAUACAUUUCGUUUCUGCCCUAUGUUUAUUUAAAGUUCCUAAGAGAGAGAUUAAUUUUUAGUGCCAUUGUCAUCCAAAAAAAGAGGAUAAUACUAAUUCUCAAAGGAAAAUAAUACCCCUUUUUGGCAAGUUCUAGGUUUUCUCAUUAUUGUGUAUUUUGCUUACUAUUUUAAAAGCAUUUUGCUCUUUGUAUUUUUAUUUUCUUUUUUGAAGGAGCUGCUGAAUAUUUGACAUGGUAGAGUCCUGCCCAGGUGCUUUCUUGUAUAGUCAUCCAUAUAGACAGUUUGAAAUGAUGACAGUAUAAUUACUGGCAAAUUGUCUUUAAAUGGUUGAACCACCUGUUACUAAAUUCCUCACAUGGAAUAUAGAUGGCUACAAUGAAAUGAAAUAUUUAUGUUUAUUAUCUAGCUGCUGCAAAAGAUUAUUUUGCAACCAGUAGAUGAGGUGUGAUGGGACAAAACAACCCAGGUUAAUAUUUUGAUCUCUUGAAGAGUAUGUUUGUUUUGCACACAUUCAUAUUUCUUUAAAGGCUAAAAACAAUAGCUCCACAAAACCUGUAUGUCAAGGAGUUUCAUAAAAGCAAGGGCUCUCCUUGUCAGGAAUAAUUUGUGCUUGUUCUCAUUCCACAGAUGACACCAAAGAGAAUAAAAUUAUUUGGAUUUUUUUCAAUCCAAGUAUUAGGUAGUAUAGAUAUUUCUCUUGCUCAUAAGAUUUUUUCAUAUAUAGUAUGUAGGAGGAGGUGAUCUUGAUGGAGGGAUUUGUGCACGCAUGUGUAGUAAAAUAUCUUAAUCCUCUUAUCAAGACUAAUAUUGGUUGUUGAACAUAGACAUGUAUUACCGCUCUCAGUUUUGCCGUGACCUAAUUCCUUACGCACUAGAAUUCCUCUACUAGAUCCUGUGUGUUGUUGCCUUAUCAGAGAGAAGUAUGGUAUUAGACUAUGGGUUAGAUCCAACAAACCACUCUCUUGCAAGAAUCACGGAUCUUCCUUAAUUUCUCUUCCCCUCAGCAGUCCCUUCUGACUCCAGGAGAGUUGAUUUCUGGGGCUGCAGAACCUGUGUGCAGUAAUAGCCACCUGAGUUGGUGGGCUGCAGUGAGGAUGGGAGGGGAAGCUCCCUUGUCCCUUUCCCCUCAUCAUCAUUGCAGUACAUCCGUGAAGGUCCAUAACAGUGAGAAGAGUCAUUAGAUACAAAUAAGUAACUUAAUAAAUCUGUUCUUGUCUAUGUCACCAUGAAUUUAGUUUACAAUUAGUUAUCUUUAUCAGCGUUGAACUGAGUAUACAAACAUCAAUAUGCCAGCAAAAGCUGGCAUAUUGAGGAGUGGGGUGGCAGCAGAGAACCCCCUCCCUCGGGUCCCAGACAGCCAACCCCAUGUGCACAUCUCAAGUUCUGGGUUAGACAAUACAGAUAGAUGGCCCCUAAGGUACUUGGCAUCCAAGCCAUUUAUGGCUUUAAAAAGCAAAGUUAUUUGAAGGUAAUAAGGGAAGUGUUGACACACAGAUGUGCUGAGGGGGAUAAGAAGCAGCAAGAGAGGAAGGGGGAUAGUCAAGUGAAACAAGUGAUCCUCAAACAGUUGAACUUGUGGAGCUGGAGAGGUGAUGGUCACAGUUAGGGAUGUAAUGGACCAUUAAAGUCCAUGGAGAACUUUAAAUACAAGGAUUCUGAGUAUGUUAAACUGAUUUUACUGUGGGGGCAGAGAGUGCCCUCAAGUCAGAGUUGACUUAUGGCGAACCCUGCUGGGAUUUUCAUGGAUUUUCAGAAGUGGUUGCCAUUGCUUGCUUCUGCAACCCUUGUCUUUGCUGGAAUCCUCCUAUCCAAUUACUAACCAAGGCUGACCCUCCUUAGCUUCUGAGAUCUGAUGAGAUCAGGUUCACCUGGGCUAUCUAGGUCAGGGUGAUUUUAAUGUAAACAUCUCUACAAAUAAAUAUUUAAGUAUUUGCUUGUAAGCAAUGAUCUGAAUUGCAGACCUGUCACUAAUCCAUAGUUUUUAUUAAUAUUUUUUAGUUCCACUAGUCAAAGUGCAGCAUCAAAGCUGACUUAAAAGUUAUAUUUCAUGUAUUUGUCAGUGUAAUAUCUAAGGGAUAUUAGGAAUGAUUUAGAAUGUGUGAAGACUUUUUAAAAAUUAAAAUAUGUUUUGAAUAAGCAUAAAAGGCAGUAAACAAAUCACAAAACCUUAUUAUAAUCAGGAAUAUGAUUAAUCUAUUAAAUAUAACAACAACAUAUACCACCCUUCAGGACAACUUAACAUUCACUCAAAGUGGUUUACAAAAUAUGUUAUUAUCCCCACAACAAUCACCCUGUGAGAUGGGUGGGGCUGAGAGAGCUCCAAGAAGCUGUGACUGACCCAAGGCCACCCAGCUGGCUUUAAGCGGAGAAGUGGGAAAUCAAACCCAGUUCUCCAGAUUAGAGUCCUGCCACUCUUAACCAUUACACCAAACUGGCUCUCCACACCAAACUAGCUUUGCUUUUACUUUAAUUUAUAAGCCACUUAAGCAGUCACAAAUGGAUUCAAAUCAGCUAAUAAAAAGGCCAGCUUUAUCUGUGAUUGCCUGCUUUGUGAUCUCUUUCUUUUACAUCACUUUUCAUCAUGGGACAAAACAUAUAACUUGUUGUAUCCAGUGCACAGUGAAAUAACUCCUUAGUAACAGGCACUUGAGUGGCUUUUAUAACUCUUCAGUUACAAUAAAUGUGAAUCCUUUUUAUGAACUGUCUGUGAAUAUUUCAUUUUUAAAGCGUUUUAGAUGCAGUGAUGGAAUUUAUGAAGGUUUCAUGUGUCUGGGUAUGCCUCAUGAAAUCACAAAAAAUUAUGGUUUUCUUUUCAGAAGCAAUUAUUUGACAUUGUUAUUUCCACCCAUAGGCUCUUGCUUGUGUAACAGUGCUUGCUUACACAUCUUUCUCAGGUGGCUGGUAUAAAAACAGUUGGGUGAUAUUUCCUAGCAAUUACAGUGUGAAUGUGGUCAUUUGUAACAGUUUUGAUCAAGAAUAAGUUGUUUCCUUUUAAUAUUUACUAAUAAACAGAUUUUUUUUAAAGUAAAUUAUUUUUCGCUCAUAUCAAGUAUGUCUUGGACUAUGAAGUGUUGUUUCUGAAACACUAAAAAACCAAGACCAUAGAGGGGGGCAUGCUGGAUACAUCUUUUUCAUAGAUCCUUCAGAAUCAAGCAAUAUUUGCAGAAAAAUAAUGGUCAUAGUAUUUCUUCUUUUUGGCACGUCUUCUUGCUGUAAGCAUGGCUAGUUGUUGAAGAUGAAACAAGCUGUCCAUCCAUAAGGAAGAAUUGUUGACUAAGGCAAUUUACAGCUCACAAUGGGAUUUUGAGAGCCAAGCUAACUGAGAAAUUGCCAUGAAAGAUCCAGAGUGAUCCAACUUCCAGUGUGGGAAUAUAAGCCUGUUCCCAGAAGAUAUAACUUGAAGUUCAUCAACGGUCUUCCUGUGCAGUCCCACAUGGGACUGUGCACGCGCAGACCUGCCGAUCUCGGACAUUUUUACAGCUCUGAGCCACUAGGGGGCGCCCCCGCCGCUCAUUGCGCAUGCGCGGCCGCUUUUCCCGCCGAAAACGGCUCCUAAGAGGCGGGGCGCCCCCGACGUACCCUUCAGUUCCUCUUUUGUCGCCGACUGAAGAGGUUCUUCUGGCUCUGUUGAAAGUGUUUUUUGUUACGAAGAUGUCGGACAAGGCCUUAUUCAAGAGGUGUUCGACUUGUGACCGAAAAAUGACCAAGUCGGAUGGUCAUGCUGAGUGCCUGUACUGCCUGGGAGAAACACAAUCCACAGGCUUGUAAGUACUGCUGCACCUUCACUUCGAAGGCCAGGGCAGAACGUUUGGGGAGGCUCCAGGCUUAUUUGUGGCAUCGAGCUAUGGCGGUGACCAACACUGUUUCAAAGGGCAAGUCGCCAGCGGCAAAAAAAUCAUCCACUCCGGCUUCGAAGUCGUCGGAGAAAUCUCCACGCUCCCGCCAAUCCCCGGCUUCCACUGUUUCCAGGCCUCCGAGCCCGACGCGUGUGGUUCGGAGCCCUUCGACUCUUGACGGUUCCCGCCCCGUCGGAUCCGACGUUGGAGUCGAGACCUGCUGUGGAACCGGCUGGUUCCAGCACUGAAGUCUCCCUCAGGAAGGAGUGUCUUACUGCUCCUUCGGAACCGAUGACUCCUUGAAGUGGAUCGGUGUUGGAACGUAUACCUUUGGAUCCGAUCCCUCCCUCUUCCUCAGACAAGAAGAAGAAGAGGAAGAGAAAGCACACGUCCAAGUCCGACAGACAGGUGCUGGAAAGUGUAAUUACCCCACAAUCUGAGGGUACGCACCAACCCGACAUUUCUCCGAAAAAUCGAGUCGUCGGAUCCGGGGAUGCUUCUUCUCCGCGGAGAACCCCUGCGUCCCGUAGAUCCCGUGAGUCUGACGUCAUUAUGCUGGAUAGAUCAUUAACCCCGUCCGGGGUCCACCGUUCACCUUCCCGUGACUCCUGGUCUUCACGUUCUUCUAGGGGCCGUCCAUCUCAUUGUUCGGACAGGUAUAGCCCGUAUUCGUACAGACGUCGAUACAGGGAAACCUCUUAUGGUUCCGAGUCUCAUCGGAGUCGACGCUCCCGCUCUCCUUCGUUCCAGGAGGUGUCCAUGGAGGGUUUCAAUCGAUCCCCGAUUCCUUCUGAUGUGGAAUAUGAUGAGCACCUCACUGCUGCUAGGUCCUACGAUUCUCCACCCUCUGAUUCUCCUGACCAGGCGAUUGGCCCUUCGGAGGAAGCAUCUCCCACGGAGGACUUUCGUGCCUACAGUGAGUUACUUCAGAGGAUGGCUAAGGCCCUUGAGAUAGACGUGGUCUCCUCGGAACCACGCUCCAAGGAUAAGAUCCUAAAACACAUGUACUCCGGGUCCACGCCGACCAUUGCCUUCCCCAUGAUUGAAGGCUUCGUUGAGCUCCUGGAUGGUCUCAAUUUGAAACCAGCUUCUACCCCUGCAACUAAUAAGAAGGUUGAGAACUUGUAUCGAGUGAAGGAUGAGCAUUGUCAGUUCUUGUCCCUUCACCUACCUCCUUCUUCCCUUGUUACUGAGGAUAUGCAAGCGAAGCCUAAACAGGGGUCUCUGUCGGUGCCUUCUGACAAGGACAGUAGAAAAAUUGAUUCCCUAGCUAGGAAGGUCUACGCUUUUUCGGCCUUUGGCAUUAAAAUUGCUAACUUUGCAGCCAUGAUGUCCACUUAUCAGCUACUUCUAUGGACAAAGGUGGCCACCUUUGUCCCUCAACUUACUGAGGACCAAAGAAUCUUCCUCAGAGCGAUACAGGAGGAAGCUGUCCGGUUAUCGAGACACCAGAUUACUGUCAGUAGGAACAUGGCGGAUACCUCUGCCAGAGCUCUCCUUUCUGCUCUAGUCUUGAGAAGGUUCGCGUGGCUUAGAACAACAGCUCUACCUCCCGAAACACGAUCCAAGGUGGAAGAUCUCCCGUUUGACGGGCAACAUUUGUUUUCUGACAAGACGGAUGAAUACUUGUCCAAAAAACGUAAGGAUAGGCUGACGGUCCAUUCCUACGGAGUGUGUCACCAACAACAGUCUGGUCGCCCGCAAUACAAGCCCUACUCUAGGUAUCGGCAGCAACGUUAUCAUCCGUAUUAUGCUUACGGCUCCCAACAGCAGCGUCCGUAUCAGACCCCACAGCCCUCUUUCCAGAGGAGGAGGCAAGGUGUCAAGAACAGGCAUAACAAUAAUCAACAUCAGCCCAAGGACUCUGGGCAGACUCAGAAACAGUUUUGACAGUUACAGGGCCCUGAUCCUCAUUUUGGGGACAGGCUAGCUGUCUUUUUUGCUGAAUGGUGUACGAUUACAUCGGAUGCUUGGGUUUUGGAUAUAGUUAAAAAUGGUUAUAAAAUUGAGUUUGUUCAGUGGCCCGGUCUCUCGUGCCCUAAUUUUUAGUCUCAGUCCCCACAACCUGGAGUGGUUUCGGAGCUGUCUGCUUUAUUAACUAAGGGGGCUAUUGAAGAAGUGUCUCCUUCUUCUCAUCCCCUAGGUUUCUACUCUAACCUUUUUGUGGUCGAGAAGAAGGAUGGCGGUCUUCGCCCCAUCCUGGAUCUCCGAAAGCUGAAUAGGUCCAUCAGGGUUCAGAAAUUUAAGAUGACCACAUUGCAGUUAGUGUUGUCUCUUCUGCCCCCCAAUUCUUGGUUUGGAGUAUUGGAUCUCAAAGAUGCCUACUUCCAUAUCUCUCUUUUUCCUGAAUAUAGGAAAUUCCUCCGUUUUACCUACGGUUCCAGGGUUUUGCAGUACCAUGUUCUCCCCUUCGGGUUAUCUACAGCCCCUAGGGUGUUUACUAAGUGUGUGGCAUUAGUAAUAGCCUUCCUUAGGACACAGGGCUGCUGCAUUUUUCCGUACCUUGAUGACUGGCUCUUAGUUGGCCAUUCGGAGGAUGAUGUUUCCUCUCAAAUCUCGAUCACAUUGGCUACCUGCCUGAGGCUGGGCCUCUUUGUGAAUCAAAAGAAAUCCAAACUCACCCCGACUAGGGUCAUCCAAUUUAUAGGGGCUGUCCUUGAUGGUGAUCGAAACUUUGGUUUCCUACCCCAGGAGAGGGCUCUUAAGAUUAAGGCCCUUGUCAGAAAGUUUAAGAGGUGUAGGUUCCAACCUGCCAGACUUAUCCAAGUUUUGUUAGGAUAUAUGGCCUCUUGCGCAACUGUGGUUUCUCUAGCUAGGCCACGUAUGAGGCCACUUCAGCUUUGGUUUUCAAAGGCCUUUCGCCCUGAAAGGGACUCCCAACGAAAGAAAUUGAGUGUUCCCCGUAAGGUCCUUUCCUCUCUAGAUUGGUGGUUGCAGGACCUUAACCUUUUGGGGAGGGGUGGCCUUUGGGUACAGACAGCCUGAUAUUACAGUCACUACUGACGCCUCUAAUUUGGGAUGGGGCGCUCACUGCCAGGGACUUUUCACCCAUGGUUUGUGGGAUGAGUCUGAGGGUGAAGAGCAUAUUAAUCUUCUUGAGUUACGGGCAGUUUAUUAUGCGUUACUGGCCUUUUCAGAUCUGGUUUGCAAUAAGACAGUACAAAUCUUGACAGAUAAUACCACGACUAUGUUUUAUUUGAAUAAACAGGGAGGCACGUUGUCUAACGUGUUAUGUACAGAGGCUUUAAAAAUUUGGACUUGGGCCAUUGACCAUUUGGUCUGGCUGAUAGCUGUUCAUAUUCCGGGCAUGGACAAUGUCACAGCUGACCGCCUUAGCAGGUUGGAGGGGGACACUCAUGAGUGGUCUCUUCACGACAAACAUUUACGUCCUGUCUUUACAGAGUGGGGUGCCCCAGAACUAGACCUCUUCGCUUCAGAAGAGAACUGCAAGACUCCCCAGUACUAUUCCAGAGGAGGCGUCGGCCUCGAGUCUCUUGGGGACGCGUUUCAGUUAACUUGGUCAGGCCCCCUUUUCUACAUAUUUCCCCCAUUUCCCUUGUUAACCAGGGUAGUUUCCAAGAUACAGGUGGACAAGACGUCGGCCAUUUUAGUUACCCCAUAUUGGCCGAGACAACCGUGGUUCCAUGCCAUUCUGAGACUUCACAAGGGGAUGUAUCGGUUCCCGGAUCGUCCGGAUCUCCUGUCGUUUCGAGGGGUCCUACAUCACAGAGUACAUUCACUCAAACUGACGGCGUGGCUGAUUCUUCAGAACGAGGAUUUUCCACGGCUGUGAUGCAUGUCCUCCAAAAUGCCCGUCAUCUUUCAACUCAACAGUCAUAUUCCCUGAAAUUGAAUAAAUUUUCUGACUGAUGCAGAGACAUAGAGGUUGAUCCUGUUUUUUCCUCCCUCUCUGAGAUUCUGGAAUUUUUGUGGGGUCUUAAGCAGUCUGGCUUAGCUAAUUCUUCUGUUAAGGUGUAUUUGGCUGCUAUCUCAGCCUUUCACCCUCCUAUCAAUAAAAAGACUGGUUUUUCCCAUUACACGUCUAAAUUAUUUUUGAAAGGGCUCAAUAAUUUGUUUCCUUCGGUUCGUGUGUUAGUUCCGCAGUGGUCCCUACCCCUGGUGUUGACAAGACUCCUUUCCAAACCAUUUGAGCCUUUGGCUACAUGCCCUCUGGGUCUACUUUCCUUUAAGGUAGUCUUUUUGGUUGCUAUCACCUCUGCCAGGAGGGUGGGUGAGCUGGCGGCUCUAUGUUGUGACCCUCCUUACUUAAGUAUUCACCCAGAUAAGGUAGUCCUUUAGACUAAGAUUGAGUUUUUGCCCAAAGUGGUAUCAAAAUUUCAUUUGGCGCAGGAAAUUGUUUUGCCUGUAUUUUUUAAGGAUUUUUCCCCCGAAGCGGAGCGAUCCCUUCAUACCUUGGAUGUGCGGAGGGCUCUCCUUUUUUAUUUGGAUAGGAUAAAGCCUUUCCAGAGGGACUCUCAUCUUUUUGUUUGUUUUGCGGGCCCCAGGAAGGGUAUGAGAGCUAAUUCUCAAACUUUGGCCCGUUGGGUAGUGCAAGCUAUUUCAUUGAGUUACAAAUGUGCUAACUUACCUUGUCCGUUGGAGAUACAUGCUCACUCCACUAGGUCUCAAGCAUCUUCGGCUGCCCUGCUCAGAGGGGUCCCGAUGCAGGAUAUCUGUAAAGCGGUGAUGUGGGCGUCUGCGGAUACGUUUGUGAGGCAUUACGCUUUGGACGUCCUGGAUAGGAAGGAGACAGCAGUUGGAACAGCUGUGCUGCAAUCAAUCUUCCUGUCCUGAUGUGCCUCUGCCUACCACCCAGUCGGCGGCAAAAGAGGAUCCGAGGGUACGUCGGGGGCACCCGCCUCUUAGGAGCCGUUUUCGGCGGGAAAAGCGGCCACGCAUGCGCAGUGAGCGGCGGGGGCACCCCCUAGUGGCUCAGAGCUGUAAAAAUCUCCGAGAUCGGCAGGCCUGCGCGUGCGCAGUCCCAUGUGUUACUGCACGGAAGACCUAGAUGAACAACAGUUACAGGCCCUAGCAAAGAAAGCAAGAGAUGGAAAAUUGCUACCAGAAGAAUACCAAGGAGGGUCUUUCAGCAUUUCAAAUCUUGGCAUGUUUGGCAUUAGCAGCUUCAUUGCAGUUAUAAACCCUCCUCAAGCCUGUAUCUUAGCUGUGGGGCGCACUCG